GAAAUGCAAUAAGUAAUGUGAAUUGCAGAAUUCAGUGAAUCAUCGAAUCUUUGAACGCACCUUGCGCUCCUUGGUAUUCCUUGGAGCAUGCCUGUUUGAGUAUCAUGAAAUCUUCAAAGUAAAUCUUUUGUUAACUCAAUUGGUUUCUACUUUGGUAUUGGAGGUCUUUGCAGCUUCACACCUGCUCCUCUUUGUUCAUUAGCUGGAUCUCAGUGUUAUGCUUGGUUCCACUCGGCGUGAUAAGUUAUCUAUCGCUGAGGACACUGUAAAAGGUGGCCAAGGUAAAUGCAGAUGAACCGCUUCUAAUAGUCCAUUGACUUGGACAAUACUUUUAUGAUCUGAUCUCAAAUCAGGUAGGACUACCCGCUGAACUUAAGC
rnacentral:misc_RNA from 1 species